UACGAAGGGGGCUAGCGUUGUUCGGAAUUACUGGGCGUAAAGCGCACGUAGGCGGAUUGUUAAGUCAGAGGUGAAAUCCCGGAGCUCAACUUCGGAACUGCCUUUGAUACUGGCAAUCUAGAGUCCGGAAGAGGUUAGUGGAAUUCCCAGUGUAGAGGUGAAAUUCGUAGAUAUUGGGAAGAACACCAGUGGCGAAGGCGGCUUCCUGGCUUAAAACUGACACUGUGGCGCGAAAGCGUGGGUAGCAAACAGG
rnacentral:rRNA from 1 species